UACGUAGGUGGCAAGCGUUGCCCGGAUUUACUGGGCGUAAAGAGCGCGCAGGCGGUCGGAUAAGUCGAAUGUGAAAGCCCCCGGCUCAACUGGGGAGGGUCAUUCGAUACUGUUCGACUCGAAGGCAGGAGAGGGAAGUGGAAUUCCCGGUGUAGUGGUGAAAUGCGUAGAUAUCGGGAGGAACACCAGUGGCGAAGGCGACUUCCUGGCCUGUUCUUGACGCUGAGGCGCGAAAGCUAGGGGAGCAAACGGG
rnacentral:rRNA from 1 species